GCUGAAGCACAGUGCACCGAACUUUACCACUAGACCAUGGGGCUGGCCCCUGUAAGGGAUCCUUAAAAGUAAUUUUGAUUAAACCAAAUUUUUGCCUUAUGUGCUGACCUAACCCCAUGCAACUUCUCUAUGUAUAUUUAAAUUACUGGAGCAUAGCAGAGGACAGAGGUCUACCUUCUAGGCUAGAGGAUCUGGAAAUGUUUCACUCUUGGAGCAGCAUUUGAGUGGAGCCUCGAAAGAUCGUGGGGAUGGAGCGCCAUCUAGACCUGUGCUAGCCAAUAUGAUAAGCCACUAGCUGCUUGUGAGAAUUAAAAUUAAUGAAAAUAAAAUAAAGAAUUCAGUCCUCACAGGUACUAGCCACAUUUCUGGAGUUCACUAAACUCUGUUGACUGGCGGUUAUCUGGUACAGAAUGUUUCCAUUGUUCCGGAAAGUUCUACUGACAGUUCUACUGUCUUCUGAUGGUAGACAUAGGAAGUAGUUUUCAUCAUCACAGGAGGUAGAAAGGUAAGGUAAACAGUGGAUAGUUAACUUAGAGGAUUUCCUCUCUCCCUUGAACCCCCCACCCCAAAUAAAUUUAAUUCUUCCCCAAGAAUCAAAAGCUAAGCCAAAUAGUACUACUUUCCCAAGAAAUUCUGGAAUUUUACAACUAUUCUAAUUCUAUAUUGGGUGCUUGUUUUUGUUAAUGAUCUGUGGAAUUGCUCAGCUGUUGAUACAAACUGGGAAGCAAUGUUGGGGAGGUGGAGAUAUCUUUCCUAGAAAUGAAACAACUUGUCUAAAAGGAGGAAGGAGGGUUGGAGAACAGAAGAAGAUGUAAAAGCUCAGUCUUGGGAAGCAAAUGUUGUCAUUCCAGAUUUGCAGUCUCAGUUCCAUGCUGCUCCCACCCACCACAGAAAUUCAAUGUCAAGUUUGGGCCAUGGUCAAGGCACUAUCCAAGAGAUUCAGUACUAUCCAAGGACUGGCCAUGAUGGCUUCAGUCUAUCACCAAAUUCAGUCUAAUUGUAGUUAGACCUGGCUGCUUUCUCUCAGUGGAGGGUUCCCUCCUCCCUCUGCAUAUUUGUCUUCUUUUCCAAAAUGUCAAUAAACUUUAUGGAGUGGAACAUGUAAUGUUGCCGUAUUUUCUAGAGUGUUUUUUAAUGACAAAGUUGUUUAUUUUUUAAGGUAGCAAGAUGGAACUGUUUUGUUUCACCGCAGCAUAAUAAACCAAUAAAACCAGCUGGACAAACAUUUAUCAACUAAAGUAGGUACUGAAGCCAGGCGAGAAUCCCCUUCUGAAGUUUGAUCAUGUGUUAAGAGCCUUAUUUCAGUUUAUAGUAGAUAUUUUCAAAAUUACUAGAAAGGCUACAUAGUAGUGUCAACUGAAGGCUUCUAUGUUUUAAAAUUUCAGCAGUUGGGCUCUGAGAAGCCUCUGCUCUUUGUUGAGAUUCUUUCUUGAGGAAGUUGUGGAGGAAAAGCAACUAGACACAUCUAUAUCUUUUCCUUAAAAUGCUUCUUUACUUCAUUCACUUGUUUCACUCUCUCAAAAUGUAUGGUAUAUUGUCGAAUAACUCUGUGAGCAAAGUGGAAAUCCCAAACAAAUCUGCCAACUAUACAGCUGUUAAUCUGCUAGCUAAUUGGAAUAUUGACAAAUUCCAUAAUGUAUUCAAGAUUUUUGAGCUCAACUUUAAGAAACAUUAAUGUUGACCAGAGCUCUAUGUUGACACUAAAGGCUGUUAUUCCGUUAUAUGAAUAAUUGGUUUCCAAAACGUGAGGCAAAUACAGCCAAGUAAGUUGGAAGCCUGCAGAAUGCUUUUCCACUGUCUUCUCUUAAACAAAACAAACAAACACAGCAGCAAUACCAGAACUAUACCAAAAUAUGAAUAUGACCCAACAGGUCUCUUAGAGGUGAUUUCCAAAGCUUAGAGAUUUGGGGGAAAAAAUCUAAUUAAAAAAAAUGUAUGCACUUUUGUAACUGAGAAGCUACAACAGUGUGUUUAAUGGGUGGUACAUUUGUGACUGAUUUUAGGAGUUGUACACAUAAAUGUUUUACUAUUUAAGGGUUACUAUUAAAAAUGUAAUUAGCAUGUCAGAUAGUCUAUGGAUAUUAUUGCUAAGAACAAGGCAAAAUGUAAUAAGGAACAUGAAGGUGAGGCAAUUUAAAGGUAGAUAUGGAGUAAAUUAGUAAGUCUGUGUGGCAGAAAUCAUGGAGGUUGUAUAUGAAUGACUAAUGUGUGGGAAACAUUAGGUUAUGAGUAUCUGUUUUAAAAGUGAUAUCCUCCAGAGAAAAAGAAUCAUUGAAUCCUAAUAUUUGGAAUACUCUUGAAAUUUGUCUAAUGUAGCCCUCAUCUGCCAGUAUUCUAUCAUGACCAUCUAGCCUCUGUUUUCCAGUGAUAGAGAAUCAGUAACUCCUGAGGUGGCAUGUUCCAUCACUAGAAAUAUCUAACAGUUAAAGUUCUUCUAUAUAGCUCAUCAUCUAGCAAUUAGUACUUCCAUGAUCUCGGUGUGUCUUCGUGGUAAGUAUAGAACAAGUCUGAUCUUUCUUUAGUGUGAUGCAGUUUCAAUAAUUUGAAGAAAUUUCUCAUCCUCUCUGUUCUAAGUCACUUUUUACUGAUAAAUAAACGUAUUUUCUUAAACAUCCUCAGAGUGACAUGGUUCCAAGAUUCCCAUGUCAUCUUGGUAGCUUCUUUGAAUACUUUGCUUUUUAAAUUAUCUUCCCAAAUGGUUCCCUACAGUUGGGUGGCUUUGGAUGAUUUAGUUCAUCAUUCUGAAAAUGAGGAUAUUAAUUUGAAUGUUGUGGAUAGUGAAUUAGGAUUCUUCUAUUACAGAAUUUGUCACAUAAACUGUAAUUAAUAGAUACCUAUCAUCGUCAUCAUUUUUAUUAUUAGUAUGUAUAAGAAUAAUAUAGUAAUAAUAUAGUAAUACUGAUAAUAUCUAGCGAUGUCAUAAUAAUAUUGAGAAAAUGUUUUGAGGUUAUUAUAUCCUUAUUGUAAACACUAUAGCUUUUUGAUUAUGUAUUAUCUUUGUUUUCAUUACAGUCUAAAUUUGCAUUUGAUUUUUUCUUUCUUUCUUUUUUUUUUUUGGUGCCCACAUCAUACUGUGACUCAUUGAGUCUUCCUUUUUUUAAAAUCUCGCAAGUAUUUUUCCAUGUAUAUGUUGCUGACUCACACCUUCUCAUCCUGUAGCUCCUCGCUUUGGGCCCAAUUUUAGGUCUUAGGAUCUAAUCCUUAUCCCUGUUAAACUUAACUUUCUUUACAUAGUUCGUCAUUCCAUUCUGUCAAGACCUGUUUGGAUACUGCCCUCUGCUAAUCUAAUCAUCCCCCUGAUUAGAACAGUAUCAACACAUUUUUUUUUAAAUUAGGCAAUCUUUGCAAUCUAGCUUUAUUUCUCUGAUUAGGAAUGUGAUGCAUACUCACUGUGGCAGUCGUUGGCCACCUGUAUCAGUUAUGUUGGGACACUAAUAUUUAGCCAGUUCUCACUGUUGUGACCAUGGAAGUAUUGCCUUCUGAGGCUUCCUCUUCCUUGACCAUCCUAUGCCCUCACCUGAGAUCACCUGGACUUCCCCAGGCUCUAGGUACUUCAAGUUUAAUGUUGAACAAAGCAGAAGGCUUCCUAGAAAACCCUGCUCCAGUACUGUGGCCAGUGCCCAUUCUGUGUUAGUUGUUAAUAUUUUGACUGUCUCUCCUGGGCGUAACAUAAUAUGUGUGAAAUCCAUAGCUGUGAACUGACCACUUCCUUUAGUUGCAAGUUCUAGUUCUCUGGAUUCUAUUUGAGGUCGAGAAGGGAUGUUAGAGGGGGUUUGGAGUGAUGAGAGCUUGUGGAGCUCUGCUAUGGAAGUUGUCCCUCUCCUCACAUCAGGAAAACCUUCUGGACUUUCUCUGUUCUACAUAUCAACUUAUUCUCCACUUUGUCUUAAUUGCAUGCUGCUUCAGCCCUUUGCAUCAUGUUUUCUUUUGGUAAUAUAGUGAAAAAUAAGAAAUGCUAGUAAUUUUUAUCUAUUUGUUUGCACAUAUAAAUUGUUGGCUCUUGUUUCUGCAUGCCUAAGGAGAUUGUACCUUGUAUGUUUUAGUCAGGAAGUGAUUUUGAUAACCUUGUUAAUAUACUGUGCUAGGCAGAAUAAUGGCCUCCCAAAGAUAUCCACAUCCUCAUCCUCAGAACCUGUGAAUAUGCUAUUUUACAUGGUAAAAGGGAUUUUACAGAGGUGAUUAAAUUGAGGAUUUUAAAAUGGGAGAUUAUCCUGGAUUAUGUGGGUUGGCUAGGUAUAAUCACAAGGGUUCCUCGGAUGGAAAGAGGAGGGCAGGAGAGUCAGGGAAAAGAAGAGACCAUGGAAGCAGAAGUUGAGUGAUGUAAUUAAUUGCUGGCAUUGAAGAUGGAGAAAGGGAGCAGGAGUCAAGGAACGGCCUCUGUCAGCUGGGAAAAACAAGGAACUGGAUUCUCCUCUGGAGCCUCCUCUCUCUAGGAGCACAGUCCGGCUAAUGCCUCGAUUUUAGCCCAGUGAAAUCCAUUUUUGUACUUAAGGCCCCAGGAAUUGUAAGAUGAUAAAUUUAUGGUUUUUUAUUUUUAUUUUUACCCCUAAGUAUGUGCUAAUUUGUUAUGGUAACAAUAGGAAACUAAUACAGACACUAUUAUCUAUGUUUAUAAGUCAUCAUCUCUGGUUAUCUAGGAUUGUAAUUCACCCCUUUUGCCGAUAAUUGAGCUGAUCAUGCUGUAGUUCUUGUAAUGGUAAGUACAAUCCAGAGGAGAGAAGAUACACAACCGUUUGGCCUGCCUCCAUUCCUCCACUCUCGUUGAGACAGGAAGGCUUGGGACUUUGUGUGGUUGGUGUUCUCACAAAUUUCCUAUUCAAAUACUCAAAAUUUCCUACUGCUACUCUGCCAGCAUUUUUUUUUCCUUUUCAUUCUCUAAUUCACUUAGUUUCUAAUCUGUAUAAUAUAUGCAUUAGUCAAAAAUGACAAGAUAAGACCAUUUUAGAUUAAAAAUAAAAAUAGAAGUCCAAUUUUCAGAAGAAUCUUUUGACAAAAACUAUAAUACCUAUUUUUGAAGCCCCCCCUUGAGAUAUUAUUUGGAAAUAUGUUGCCUCCUUGUCAUAACAACAAGUUUUAUUCUUAAUAUGAGUUAUACUGGAAGCUGACUUGCCUCAGGGUUAACCAUCUACUGGGGUCUGCUUGAUGUAAAAUAAGUACUAAGGCUGAAGUUCAAGAAAUAAGAUGGAUUUAAAAAUUAAGCAACUCAAAAAAUUGUAAUAUGGCUUCUCAGUAGAGUUAAGAAUUCAGUUAAUUUUCAUUAGAGUUGAAUUCUGGAAGUAGGAAAACUAUAAAGAACAGUUUGGCAUUAUUUUAAUUGUCUGUUUUUGAAGUUAUUUGAAAACCAUAAGGCUUUUGAUCAAUAGAAAAAUCGAUGCACUCAGAACACUCCAUGAUGAAAUCCCUUCCAUUCCAGACAGCUUUCCAGUAUGUUGCACUAAUUUAGCGCCAUUUAGACCUUUUAGUCAGUGCUGUUAGUUGCAAAAGAAAUGGUGUGGGCCAAAGGGAAUUGACUAAAACAUAGUUGUGCUCCUUUAUUGUGCAUUAUUUUUCUAGAAUAACCCAAGGUUUUUUUUUGUUGUUCUUGUAAAUUAUCAAGGCAAUGGGGACAGAGUCCUCCCCAAUGCAGAGAUCUCAGACUGGAGACACAGUGGAGUAGAAGUGGCAUGAGAACACCAGUCCCAAGAUCUGAUGUUUGCCUGAUUCUGCUCCUUACUCACUAUGUGAUCUUGCAUGAGAGGCUUUAUUUCCUUCACUUUUUUCAUCUGACAGGAAAAGCAUUUGUAACAUAACAUGAUGCAUAUAAAAAUACUUUAAAAACUAGAAAGUUCUAUACACACAUUAAAUAAUGGUGGUUACUAUAUAAACUUUCCCUCGUUCUUCUCACCUCCCUUAGCCACAUUGGGGAUCUAGAUGGAAUCACAAGAUAAGGCUGGUGCAACCCGUGCUAACUUUAUUGUGGCGACAGCAUUGGUGUCACGAUGUCCGCACCCCGUGACAACCAUGGCAACCAUGUUGUUCUGAUAUUGCAUCAGUCUCCUACUGUCGUUUCCCUCCCUCAAAAAUACUGAUGCGCUGUAAUCAGUGUAAAAACAAUGUUAGUCCCAGCAUAGUCAGUGGUGAGAAUGAUACGGAUAAUGAAACUCUCAUUUUGUUUGAAAGUUAGGCUUUUGGUUGAGUGCACUUCCUACCAUGAUGAUCAUUUGCAGCAUGUGGAGCCCAUUAAGCAGUGUUGGAACUGGAUUCACAGUUUAAUGUGCUAACACUGCAUCUGUUUCUACCCUGAUGAUAACACCUGGAUCAGUUUAGAACUUAUGUAGAAGUUUAAGAUGUGGUGUAGUUAAUUUCUAAAACAACUGUUGAUCUUUUAUAUGUGUGAACCCCAUGGUCUUUCACAUUCCAGGCGAAUUCACUGCCAUUUGAACAUGCUUAUACCUGUGUGUGCUUUCAGAAUGGGAAAUGAAAAACAUGUGCCUUCCCCUCUAGGAGCUUUAUUUUCACUUAAAUUCUGAGGGGUGACAAUGAUGAGAUUAUUACUUUUUUAUUUCCUUUUGGGAUGGAUAACAAGAUUCCUUUAUGUUGUACUCUUAUAACCUUUAUCAAAUGUUCAUCUAAAAUGAAUAGUUGAUGGAUGAUUUUCCUUCCUGCUUUGUCAAAACCCAUGCCUACCCACAGCCCAACCCAUUUUUGAUGCCAUGAAUAGGUCAUUGAUUCCUCUUGGGAGCCCUGAAAUGGACAGGCAUUAAAAAUUAAGGAAAGGCAAUUCUGUUAGCGAGGUUGCGCGCCUUAUCUCUGUGGCUGGCUAAAAGCAGAGUGCCAGUUCACUGGAGCUUUGAAAAAUGGCUUUUCCCAAUGACCUACUGCCUUUUAAAGGCAGCAAAGUUUGGAGUUCCUUUUUAAAGUGGUAAAUGCCCUUGGAGUGUUGUAGUACAGUUAUAUUCCCAUUAGAAAGAUUGAACUUCUCUCCUGGAUGCCCUCAGGAAAGAAACCAUUAGAAAACAGGACCAGUAUAGCAUUUCGGGAUGCCUGUUCUGUUAUCCUACCCAAGGCAACUUUUAAUGUUAGUUUUUUAAUGUGGAAAUCCAUCUGCUCUGAGUGGAGUGACCAGACUAGAGUGCGUUACAUUGCCUUUUUUCACAAGGUGACCACAUUUCUGAUCUUAAACACUUCUUGAUUGUGUUCCAGGCCAUCAGAAAUUAUAGCCUAUUUACUGCCCACCUGCAUGGGGUUGGCUUAAAUGAAGACUGUCAAGAGGACAUUUUCAAAUAUUAUGUUGACUUUUCUAUUAGCAAAGAUACAAGAGGUUUAAUAUACAUUGUUCUGCUUUUUAGAAGUCACUAUCUUUGAAAACAUAAUGAUGUGUGUGUGCGAUUGGAAAUGCCUGGAGUAAUUCUUUUCCUACUUAGUGUAAGAAAAAAAUAGGCUUGGGAAGCUAAAAAUAGUUUGCAGAUCAUGUUAUAGUUGUUUUGUUAGAAUUCAUGAUCUUUAGUCGAAAAGAAAUGCCGAGCCCAGCAUCUUUGGUGGUAUGCAAUUGUUGUCCUUCCAAGGAGGCUGCUUUCCAGAAUAUUCUAAUUAGCUGUGCACUAUGACAUAAGUUCUGUGACAACUUAUUUUUUCUGUUAUGUUUUUUGGUCCCCUCACUUGACCUUGCUGUCAUCCAUCCUUCCAGAUGAGUUAGACUGCCGUGAGCAUCAUUCUUGUGCUGUUAGAUUGGCUGAUGGGCUUAUAAUUAAUACACGUACAAUUUCAUGUUGGUGUGGUAGGAGAGAGAGAGAGGCAAAAGUCCUGAAGACUAUGCUCAGAGAAAAGGUAAAUGACACCAGUGACUGAAUGCUAGAUGUAGUGGUGUUGGCCAACAUUUCAUAAAAAAGUGCUCUUUUCUGGAGUCCAGGAAGACAAGGGACGCGAUUCAUUGUACUAAUAGUCAUUUGUUAACCACCUACUAUGUGUCGAGUUAACCUUCUUAUCUUAUUUAAUCUUAUUUAAUUUUCACCAGAGACAGCAGGUUAUAGAUGAGAAAA